GGUCACACUACUUAUUCAAGAACCUCUUGGAUAUCAUUGGCAUGUAUGCAGCACAGAGUCAUUCCAGUAGGCACGGAGUCGUUCCACGAUGGACGUGAUGACCUGGCACCAAAACCGCUUAAUGUGUAUGAAGCUGUCUGCAUCGAGGGAAGAACCCAGCACUGAAGUGACACAAAUGAAAGAAGGGGACUUCUGCUCUGCUGGGUCUGCGACACUACUUAUCUGAGGAGUCCUCAAACAUCAGGAUGUAGGAA